GCAGCGCCGCCAUCUUGGUUGCGGGCAGCGCGGCGGGUCCCGGGACGGGCCCCGCGGCCCGGGGGGCUCCGGAGCCGCUGAGGGGCAGCCCCGCCGCUCGGCGGAGCAGGACGGCGGCUGCUCGUGGCGGGGCCGGGCUGUGGCCUGUGUUUGUGUCUGUCCCCGUCCCGCUCUCACCGCCCUCUGCACCGCCUGGAUGGGGUGGUGCGACCCCCCCGGCCCUGGGUGACUCUCCGGAGAGCGGAGCUCCCUUCCGGGGCCGUGUGGCAGGCCCCGGCCCCGCAGCAGCUCGCUGGGCUUUGCUGAGGGCUGGUUCCCUCUGCACAGCUGGCAGAAAGGGCUGGACUUCCCUUCCUGGGGGAGGGAGGCACCGGCUGCCGCGGGAAAACCGUCCGCGUGGAUCUGCGAAGGCCCUCCCAAUUAAAGGAGUGCUCUGGGGGCUGCUGCAGGUCUGUGGCAUUGCCCUUGCCCUGGCACUUGUCCCCAGGCUGCCGAUGGCACUAGAGGAUGAUUGGAAGGAUGGAGCUGUCAGAGGGACAGGGAUUGAGGUGAGCAAGCCCCGGGUGUGGUGGCAGGUGGGGAAAGCUGGGGCAGAAAGACCCACCAGCCUUCCUGGACCUGCACUGUCUCCUUGGUGGAGAACUUCUGGCCCAGCUUACCCCUGUUUUGCCCCUUCCCCAGGGAAGGGCUGCUGGUUUGUUUCUAGUUACCAAACUGGACAGCAUCAGCUCCCUGCUGCCAUGUCCCCAAAAUCCCAUUGCACCAGGCAGCUGUUCCCAUGCAGCUGCAGAUCUUCCAGGUCCAUAUGCUCUAGCUGCAGUCAGGAAUCUCAAGCAAAAGACUGUUCCCCAACAUAAAAGAUUUAUUUUACUUCAUAAAAGAUUUAUUUUAAAAUUGGAAAUCCAUAACAUUUUUUUUUGGGAAGAGGCAGAAUUUUGGGGUCUGUCUGUGGGCCAGCUCCUGGGCAGUUUGUUCCUAGAGAGUGAACCAUUCUGGUUCCUCUAACCUGUUCUCCCAUAACUGACUGCACAGAUGAGAUUAAAACCUGGGCUCUGCACCCUGGGCUUGGCAGAGUGGAGCACUGAUCUUAAGAUGUUCCCUGCAUUAAGUGACACUCCCAGAAGCUGAACCCCCACAGCCUGAGAGGUCUGACCAGCAGAAGGAUGUUCAAGAGGCUCAGCAGCUCAUAGCACCAGCUCAGCCUGCUGUGGAAGUCCUUGCUGAGUGAAAGGAAUGUUCAAAACCAUCAGUGGCACCGUGGUCUCCUUUGGAGAGGCUCAAGGCUUGGAGAAGGAAAAGCAGAAGAAGUGUGUGCUCUGCAGCAGGUAUGACCUCUGCCCAAAUGGGAAGGUGUGUGCUGGAAGGCCCCGUGGUGCUGCAGAGGGGCCUCUUACCUGAUGAAGAUGAAGAUGGCUUUGCGGUAGUUGGUCCCGUACACAACCCAGGAGGGUCCCAGGAAUGGGAGGAUCACAUCAAUCAGGCCUGGGUGCAUCUUGUCCAUCUCAUCAAAGAGAAAGGCUGACCUUCCACAGUUGGUCAAGUUCCCUUGGAUCCAGCUCUUCAGGCUUUCCUAGGAGAAGUAAGGGCUGUGUAAAUAUUUAAGGAAUGAGAACAUGCUCAUGGCCAGGACUGCUGCAGGGAAGAGAAGAGUGAUAACUGAGUGCCAGAGCACAUGGUGGUUACCAGUGGAUCCUUCAGCCAGUGUGUGGAGCCACUCACUCAGCUGUGCUCCUCUGAGAGGCUAAAACAAUGAGCUUUUAUUCCUUCUGCACUUCAGGAAACAGCCUGAAUGUGUAUGUAGAGGGGAUCAAGAUGGAAAGAACCAACCCCCCCGAACCAAGCCGUACUUGUGCAGAGGGGUGUCCCUUACCUUGUAC